rnacentral:rRNA from 1 species
GAUGAACGCUGGCGGCGUGCCUAAUACAUGCAAGUCGAGCGAACCACUUCGGUGGUGAGCGGCGAACGGGUGAGUAACACGUAGGUGAUCUGCCCAUCAGACGGGGACAACGAUUGGAAACGAUCGCUAAUACCGGAUAGGACGAAAGUUUAAAGGUGCUUCUGGCACCGCUGAUGGAUGAGCCUGCGGCGCAUUAGCUAGUUGGUAGGGUAAAGGCCUACCAAGGCGACGAUGCGUAGCCGACCUGAGAGGGUGAACGGCCACACUGGGACUGAGACACGGCCCAGACUCCUACGGGAGGCAGCAGUAGGGAAUCUUCGGCGAUGGGCGAAAGCCUGACCGAGCAACGCCGCGUGAAUGAUGAAGGCCUUCGGGUUGUAAAAUUCUGUUAUAAGGGAAGAACGACUUUAGUAGGAAAUGGCUAGAGUGUGACGGUACCUUAUGAGAAAGCCACGGCUAACUACGUGCCAGCAGCCGCAGUAA